rnacentral:rRNA from 1 species
AAUAGAUACCCGGGUAGUCCACGCCGUAAACGAUGAGUGCUAAGUGUUAGAGGGUUUCCGCCCUUUAGUGCUGCAGCUAACGCAUUAAGCACUCCGCCUGGGGAGUACGGUCGCAAGACUGAAACUCAAAGGAAUUGACGGGGGCCCGCACAAGCGGUGGAGCAUGUGGUUUAAUUCGAAGCAACGCGAAGAACCUUACCAGGUCUUGACAUCCUCUGACAACUCUAGAGAUAGAGCGUUCCCCUUCGGGGGACAGAGUGACAGGUGGUGCAUGGUUGUCGUCAGCUCGUGUCGUGAGAUGUUGGGUUAAGUCCCGCAACGAGCGCAACCCUUGAUCUUAGUUGCCAGCAUUUAGUUGGGCACUCUAAGGUGACUGCCGGUGACAAACCGGAGGAAGGUGGGGAUGACGUCAAAUCAUCAUGCCCCUUAUGACCUGGGCUACACACGUGCUACAAUGGAUGGUACAAAGGGCUGCAAGACCGCGAGGUCAAGCCAAUCCCAUAAAACCAUUCUCAGUUCGGAUUGUAGG